rnacentral:misc_RNA from 1 species
CGGGAUUUGUUCAUCCUCUGGUUAGUUAUUUCUAUCAUUUUGAUCUUUUUCAGUUCUUCUAAAUCAAGUUAACUGGGUUCAAUGAAAUGCUGGAGUUGUGCACUAGGUUUACUGGUUAAUGAAUCUAUGGAUUUUGUUUCUUGUUGGUUGUUCUUUAGCUUUGCUUUAGAAUUUCAAGGAUUGGACUUGGUAGUUUGUGUAGUUUAUUGAUUCUCAUCGGUUUUUUGGGGUUUAUGACAUUGAACUUGUGAUUAAGUGAAGAAUUACGGGUUUGACGAAUGGCCUAGGGAGUUUUUGAUUUGAGAAUGAUCUAGGAAAGAGGUAUUCUAAUUUUAGCUGUUCAGAAUAUUUAACAAUCAAGGUGAGAAGGAUGCAGGGAAAUACCAAUAGUGGAGCUUUACAAUUCAAAAUGUACUGCAGUAACUUCAAGUGAUGCCAUCACAUGUUCUUUCCAUUGUUGGUUCUUACUUCUUUUACAACUGCAUUUUUGGUUGGUAACUUACUUUUUUAGAUUUAUUUUUCGUAUGAACACAGCAAAUAAUUUCUCAUUCAUAUUCCCCUCUAGGCGUUUGAGCUGUUAAAUAAAAAGCUUCUUCAUGGGCCUCCUUCUAUAUAUAUAUAUAUAGCACAAUUGCUAUUUUGCUAAGUUUUGUGGCUACCAGCUGUUAAACAUGGAAACAGCUAUAGACGGAAUUUCCCAUUUUGUAAACUUUUCUGACACGGAAACAAUGGGACACGGCAAAGAAACAUUUCGAGGUUGUGUCCGUAAAUUUCGAAAGGUGGAAACCUGUUUC